rnacentral:rRNA from 1 species
UACGAAGGGGGCUAGCGUUGCUCGGAAUCACUGGGCGUAAAGCGCACGUAGGCGGAUCUUUAAGUCAGGGGUGAAAUCCCAAGGCUCAACCUUGGAACUGCCUUUGAUACUGGGGAUCUCGAGUCCGGAAGAGGUGAGUGGAACUGCGAGUGUAGAGGUGAAAUUCGUAGAUAUUCGCAAGAACACCAGUGGCGAAGGCGGACUCACUGGUCCGGUACUGACGCUGAGGUGCGAAAGCGUGGGGAGCAAACAGGGAUUAAGAAACCCGAGU